ensembl:ncRNA T06E8.3 ncRNA
AAAGGAGAAGAAGCAAAGAAUGAAAAGAAUAGAAAAGCGAUGAAGAAGAAAAAGAAGGAAAAGAGAGAAGAAGGAGCGGUUUGUUUGUUGGCAACGCGCCAAGAAAUGGAUCAUCACGAGGAGAA